GGCCGAGAUGGCGCAUGGGUGGUCCUGCCGCUCCGCCUGCGGCGGAUUGGUAUCAACUUUGAGAGCCGGUAGCUGCUGGCGCGCCAGGUUCACACCGGUGCACGCCGGUAACACGUCCCUGCUAUUGGGACCAAAACUCAGACUCAGCGUGACUCCAGGCUGGAAGGACCUUAAGAAUUAGGCCAGGCUUUUGCAGGCACUGAAGUCUUUUGGGCACCAAGUAGCGCUUGUACACAGUAUAGCGACUGGGAAUUUAAAUCUUACAGCAAGCCUCCUCUUCCCUGGACAGCACGGUCUCGGAAUGUGAACCAGAGUUUUCCUGUGUGCCAGGCAUUGUGUUAAGUGCUUUAUGGCCCAUUUAAUUCUCACAAAAACCCUCUCAGGCACCAUGGUGUAGUCCCUUAAGUCUGUGGACGAAAUAAAUGUGCACAAUGUAAGAGCUGUGAGUUUUCACAGAAGACUGCCUCUCAGAUAGCUCUGAGGAACUGCUUGGAAGAGUUUUCUCAGAGCAUAGAGUGCCUCAUUCCUGAUCUCCAUCAUGAACUCCUUUCAGCGUGUGUGGAUGGACUGCAGUGGCUAAUGACUCAAUCCUUGUAGAGCCAGAUGGUGAUGUACCUAUGCUGAACAGGAGUGGUGAGAAUGGACAUCUUUGCCUUGUUUCCUGUCUUAGAGGAAAAGCAUUCAAUCUUUUACCAGUAGCUAUAGGGCGCCUACUAUGGACCAGCUGAGGACGCAGUCGUAACAGAGAGGAGGCCCUGCCCCCAGGGAACACAACUAAAAGAGGAAAUCCUGAGUUUACUCAUGCAUGAAAUGCCGGAGUGGACUUGGAUGGUUGCUGCAGUCCCUGUUAAGCCCUGUGAUUUCCUGAGAUUUCAUUGCUGUCAGAACUCCUCCCACGUUGUGACCUUUCCAGCAGACUAGAGGCUAGAAUGGAGGCCCAGAUGAAAGGCCUCUGGACCUUUGCCACCAGCAUGCUCUCCCCUAGGGGGUAGACCUGUGGUUUACCUUCUUUGCUACUCCUUGCUGGAAUCUUUGGACCUUGGAUCCACCCUAGUCUUCUGAGAACAAGCAACUCUUGAGUUCUUGCCAUGGCUGGUACGAAUCUCAGCCCACAACUCAGGUAGGCAAGAAACGAAGCUUUCUUUCCCAAAACUCUGCUCUGAGUGCAGGCCUCUGCCCUGCCUAGCUGGUGUAAAACCCCAAAGUGCAGUCUUUACUGGGCACAUACACCCCUCUCCUCGGCAACACACACAUACCGAGUGUCACUCAGUCCUGGGGGGUUAGGCAAGGCCAAGGGGAGGAGGGGGGAGGAUUCUGGCUCUGGUCAUCAGUCACAUGGUUGGUUGAAGGAUCUGUUAGCCCUGCCGGUGUGGCUCCACUGGCUCCAGGGUCUGCUGCUGCUUUCCUGCCAUUAUGGGGCCCCAGGAAUCUUUCUGAGGUUGUACCACCUUCCACAGGCUUCCAGACCCCAGACAGUAUUCCCAGAAUCAGCUCCCUUCCUGAGUGAGAGGAAAGGAGAAAGGAAAACACAGGAAGAGGCAACAGUGUGGAUUACCACUAUGGCAUCAUCCAGGCGGGUAGCCAGUUCACCCUUUCACUCCAGCUCUGUUUCUACAUGGGAGAUUAUAGGCCUCUACCUUCUUUAAAAGAAAUAAUAAAAUGAUUUUCUUAAAAAGUAAUAUUCUUUAACAUCUAUUGGGUACAUUCUGAACCUAGCAUUAUCUGAUUUAAUUAGCACAGUUGCCUUUUGAAUUAAGUACCAUUCUUAUUUCCAUUCUACAGAUCAGAAAACUGAGGUGCAGGGAGAUAAGAAUCUUGCCAAAGUAGUCACACAGCAAGUAGUGGGAGAGGUGGGGUUUGAAUCUCUGUCUUCCUGACACUAGAGUCCAGAUCCUUAUUUGGAGGCAGUGCUCGACUGCAUCUUAAGUGCUUAAAAACAAUGCCAGUUUUGUGAGCCUAGAGUGACAUUUAAAAAUUCUGUUUUUAUGAAGUUUGUUCUAUAGUCUGGCCCUUCUCUCAGUGGGACAAUAAAACAACACCCAGCAGUUACUCUAGCUGUUGGGCUCAUGUUACGAGCUCAAUAAAUACUUGUUGACUGAUUGUACAUCUCACAAGCAAUUUUGCAUUUUGAAAUACUUCUGUGUCUGGUUCAGAAGUGGCAGAAAAAGGUGGAAGGUUGCUGGCGGCAUUGUCUUCUCUAAAAAAUAAGAAAAACCUUUCUAUUCUGCCUUCCUUCCUUCCUUCCUUCCCUCCCUCCCUCCCUCCCUCCCUCCUUCCUUCCUUCCUUCCUUCCUUCCUUCCUUCCUUCCUUCCUUCCUUCCUUCCUUCCUUCCUUCCCUGAGACUCCCUCAACUCUUCUUCAUUUGGGCUUCCUAACUCCCAGCCAGACUCACUGAGGACGGGAUGCCCUGCAGGGUUUUGGCAACAUAGUCAGAAAUGGCCUUUAAAUCCUGGCUCAGACACUUGCUGUUCAUGUGACUUGGGCUCAUCAUAUACCUCUCUGAGUCUUCACAAAAUUUCCAUAAAACAGGAGCAAUAAUAAAACCUUCUUCAGGGAUAUUAUGAGUGUACACAAUAUACACUCAGUUUCUAGUUCUUACCUCUAUUAAUUAAAUCAGUCCCAUCAGAGUGUGCUGUCAAUUUAUGUAUUAAACUUAAGGUCCUUCUCAAAACUCUUCAAGUAAGGACGCCAUCCCUUUGGAUGGAUUUAGGAAUUCGUGUUUACCAAUACAGUUUAAAGGUGAUGUUUCAGUAGGAUGUAUUCAGUUGCAAGGAAGAGAAAAUGCUGGCCCAAACUGGCAUAAAUAAUAAGAAAAUACAUUGUCCAAAGGUGUGAAGGUUGAUUCAGAGGCUGCCUGGUAUUGGUAGGGACCCAGGUUUCCCAGCUCUUCCUCAGCCCCUCUAGAGUAGACUAUAACCAGUCAUUGUCACAGGUUAACUGGAGCAGCAGGCAAAGGCCUCACGUGUAGAUGCAGAAAUAUCCAGAGGUGGAACAGGGGCCCUUUUAUUCCAGUGUCCUCUUCCCGGGAGCCAGGAAACCUCUCCAAGAAACAUCCCAUUAGAUACACUCUUCCGCAUCCAUGGGCAGAACUGGGUUUCAUGCUAGAGUCUAAUGAGGCCACUAAGUUAGGAAUUAUCUCUGAGCUAGGGGUGAGGUGACCAUUUCCUAAGUCAUGAGAGGGAGGGUGGCUCCCUGAAUGAAAUCCAGGUUCCAUUAGCAAAGAAAAACAGAGGAUUGUCUUGAUCACCACCUCUUCAUCCUGUUAGGGAGGAGGGAUUCCUCUCAUGUGGAGUGACCUAACACAUGACACUUGAUACGAGACAGAUGAGACAGACAGAAGCUCAUUGGUCACCCAUACGCACAGCCAUGGGGAGGAGAACACCACGCACCACGCAGGGCCACAUGGGAGGUGCUCUCAGGAACGGAGUAUCUGUAGUAUCAAAGAGGGUGAGUUACCCUUAGUUGCUGCAGAAGGAUGUGGUUGGCUGGCUGGAAUAAUUCUGUGGGCUGGAAGGGACUGAGUCCCACUUCACAGGGUUAAGCAGGACCUAUGCCUGGUGCCUUCAACAAGAAGUGGUGUAUGCGUAGGGGGCUUUAUGGGAGCAGAAUAAUGGGGAUGGGGACUUGGGGUUAGGCCAUUGAAGGCCCUCCCAAUUUUAUUAGAUGUCAAGGCGGCACAUAAUGUUGAACUUUAAUGUAGGACUUCCAUCCACAGGGAUGGAUGUGGGAUAUAUACAUGUGACAGAUGACCAUCCAUCUGAGCAACCAUCCCUUCCUGCCAGACAUCAUCCAUCCAUCAAUCAUCCAUCAUCCAUCAUCCAGCCAUCCUCUCCAUCUUCCACAAAGGACUGGCAUUCUGACUACAUCUCUGGCUGUUUUUCAUGGCGUCCCAGCUCACAGUUGUUACAAGUGGUCAACAUUUGGACCAGCCCUUCUAGUCCUGUUGCCAGCUUUUCACAUAUCUCAACUCUGCACUAGCCAGUAGGGUCAACUCAUUGACCCUGGAAUAUGCCUUUUUUCUGUUCCCCUUCUGCUUUUGCUAGAACCAUCCAACUCUCUUCUCUGUUUCUUUAAAUUCCCCCUCCCUUGAGUCAAAUCUGACUCUUUGUGUCAGCCCAGAACGCUUGUGGCAACUGCUUCAUGCGAGUGCAUAACCAUACACUCUUGGGUGUCACUGCAUUUAAAUCAUCAAAGUUCUGUAAAAAAAUAUUUAUAAUGUAAAUACAGAAAGCAGUAUGAUUAGCAUCUGUCAGUGAACAUUUAUCUAGUAUCUGGCACAUAGAAGGCACUCACAUAAAAAAGUGUUGAAAUAUUCAGUAAAACACCUGAAUAGCCAGCCUUAAAGUUCUGAAUAUUGUUUUUAAAAGGCUGCAUAUUGAUUGAUAUACAGAGGAUUUCAGGGCUCAGAGAAAUGAUUUCUCUUUCUUAAUCUAGGUCACUAUUUAGCUGACUUCAGCAUGUGCUGUGGCACCCUCACAAUUUUCACAUCUGUGCACAUGAUAACAUUUCACAUUAUCUAUCUGUUGUAACUAACAUGGUUCCCUAAAUCUUAAAUUAAUUCAUUUUCAAGCGUAUUCUAGACCCAAGCAAGAGUACUUGUGACGUUGGAGGCUUGAUGUGCUAGUUACUUUGAUGUAUCUUAUUAAAAAUACACAAUUAAGAUAUAAAAUAGUUGUCUGUGUACUACCUAACCUUAUUUCAUGUGCCAGAUUUGGGAAACUCCAGUCUUGCUAUAUUGAUAUCUACAUAUUUUAUGAUAAAAAGCCAGUCAUACACAAAAGACUACUAUUGUAUGUUUACUCCUGCUUGUGUGUGAACAUUUUAGUAAAGGCAAAACUCUAGAGACAGCACCUCAGUGGUUGCUGGGGGCUCAGGAUGGAGAUGGGGUUUGACCCUGUAGAGGCACCAGGGGACUUUCUGGGGUGAUGGAGAUAUUCUAAACCUGGAUAGUAGUGAUUGCUGCUCACUGUAUGAAUCUAGAAGAAUUUGCCGAACUGUAUAUUUCAAAUGGAUACAUUUAAUGGUUUAUAAAUUGUAUCUCAAAGAAAGAAAGAGGAGGAGGGGAAGAAAAAGAAAAAAGAAAUGAUCAACCAGAGAGGGCAGGAAGGGGUUUCUGGAGUCCUGGUGACGUUCUGUUUCUUGACCUGGAUGUUGGUUACAAGCUGAGGAAACUGAGGCUGGGGGUCCAGGCCCACGUUGCUGGUGAGUGACAGAGGCGGGAGCAAGCCGGAGCCCCACCCAGUGGGCUCUGCUCUGUCACAGGACCUGACGUCAGUAACUGGAAAGCCAUUGUGGUGAGGAGGAUGGCGACUUCCAAGGAUGACCACAGGCCUCUCUCUCAACACUGUAAACCUUAUUGACCAUUUCCCGUGGCCACGGUCGUCCCAGGUGAAGAGGGGCACUGAAUGAAGACUGAGACACAGCCUUCUGUGUCACAUUCCAGUUGCUGACUCACUCUGGGGACACCAGCCACCAUGUUGUCAGGAGAGACUCAGGUGAAGAGGAACUACUGCGUCCUGCUAAAUACAUGAGUGAACUUGGAAGCAAAUGCUCCAGCCCCAGCCAAGCCUUUAGCUGACUGCAGCCCCAGCUGACAACUAGGCUGAUGGAUCCACUACUUACCUCAUCUGCUUCCGAAUUCUGGACUGUCAGAAACUGUGAAAUAAGAAACAUUUGUUGUUACAGGCCCCUAAAGUUUGGGACAUUUCAUGAUGUGGCCAUAGAGAACUGAUCCAGAGAGUAAAAGGACUCAGCACAGUACCUGGCACAUAGUAUGGGCUUUAGCAUAUGCAGCAUCUGUAGGUCUGGAGUGUAGGAGAGAGGUCUGGGUCGGAGGUAUGGAUUUGGGAAUCUUAGGGCUUAGAGACAAUACUGGAAUCCAUGGAGGGGGCUGAGCCAGUCCACAGCGAGGGGGAGACAGAGAAGAGAGGCUGGCCUUGGCCACAAACGUGGACAAAAGGAGUGGGUAAAGCACGAGGAGGAUGUCUCCAUGAGCCUGAGAGGAGGAGCUGCAGAGGAAGGAGGAAAACCAGAACAGGCCACGGGGAGAUCCCUGGGAGGGUGUGGUCAGCGGGGAGGCCUGACAGGAGAUCUGAAGAGUGUUUUUUGGCUUCAGCAACAAGGAGAUUCCUGGUGGCCCCACAAGAGCUGUGUAGGUGGAGAGGUGGUCUGAGGCCAGAUUGAAUGUUGUGGGUCUGGAUGUCACUGUAAACACUUUCUACCCCCAAGCCCCAAACCAAGAUGGUUUACAGGAGAAUUCUAUAGAAAAUCCGAACCACAAAAAAACCCUAGUCUUACAAGAGUUGCUCUAGUGAGUAGACACCCAUUUGCUUAAUUUAUUAUAUGAGGCUCAUGUAACUUUGCUAGCAAAACCAGAUAAGGAGAGAGUAAGAGGAAAAUGGUAGGCAUAUCUCAUUCAUAGAUACGGAUAUAAAAACCCUAAAUAAAAUGUUACCAACCAAAAUCCAGCACUAUAUUGAAAAAAUAACACAUCAUCAAGGUGUGUUUAUUCCAGGAAUGCAUGGAUGUUUUAACAUAGUAAAAUCCAUGGUUGUAAUUAAUUACAUUAGGGGGGAAAAUCUCACAUUUGAUAAAAUUCAACACCCAUUCAUGAUAAAGCAGAAUAGUACUUCCUUACUCUGAUAAAUAGUAUCUACCAAAAAUUUACAACAAACUGCAUGUUUAAUGGUGACAUAUUAAAGGAUUCAAGAAUAAGAUAGAAAUGCCCACUGUCACCAUUGUUAUUCAGCACUGUGCUGGAGAUUUUUAGUCAGGGCAGUAAAACAGGGAAAAGGAAAUAAAGACUGGACAGGAAGAUACCAAAUGUUACUCCUUGUAGACUCUGUAAUUACUUACAUCGAAAAUUCAAGAGAGCCUAUAAACUUAUUAAAACUAAAACAGGACUAAGUUAGAACUAAAAAAGCAUUGACUGAAUAGAAGUUUAUUAUAUAAAACCAAUCACAUUUCAAUAACCAUAAAUACAUUAUAAAAUAUAAAUUUACUUCGAGAUAUGUAGGAAUCGUUCUGAGAAAAACCACUGACAAAGGUAAUUCCUCUCAGUUUUUAGUUGAGGAAAUAGAAGCCCUGAGAGGGGAAAUAACUCUUCCAAGGACACCAGUAAGCCAGGUGGCACUGAAUCCUACAUCUCUGAGUGUGAAAUAAUUUCAGCUUUGUCUUUUGUGAAAAAUAAGACUCAUUGUAUUUUUCUGAUUAUAAAUUCAGUAUCCAUGCAGUUUAGAAAAUAUAGAAAAGUCAGAAGAACAUUUGGAAGUAAUAAGUCACUAACAUUCCCAUUCUGCUACCUAGAAUUAUGAUCAACGAUUUGAUGUAUUUCCUUUGAAAUUUUUAUCUAUGCAUAUUUACAUUAAAAAAAAUAAGAUUAAGCUUAUACCAUGUAUACCAUUUUGUGUACUGCUUGUUUUCACACACAUUUCCCUGUAUUCUCACCUAGUCUUUUUGGUAUGAUAAUGUAGUACUUAAUUAUAAUGAUGCAGCAUAUGUCAUUUCUUUAACCUAUUGACUUGGGUUUUCAGAGAAAAACCAAAUGUUAGAUAUGACUGUGAUGAUCGUGCAGAUAAAAGUUAAACCCCAGAGUCAGCUCACACACAGGCAGAUGUAAAGUGCAAGUAAGUUUCCAGAGCAAGUGGUUAUAUUGGUGAAAGGGAAAUAGCGAAACAAACAUCAUAUACCUGGUCCCACCUGGAAAGGGGUAGAGACCUGGUUAGCAGGAAGCGAAUGAGAUUUGGAAGGCGUCUUUGCCUGGAGAACAAUUAACUCUGAGGCUUUAGGUAAUUCCCCACCCUCUCCAUCCUUGGCUUUCUUCGGUGAAAUGAGGACAGUUCGGGUACGAGUUUCAUCUAGGACCAGCUCCUUUGCUUUGGUCGUUUUCUUUGCUGGAGUCAGUUCUGCUCUUCUCCCCUUCUGGCCGCCCACGUUGGCCCUUCAGGCUUGGCUGCCCUUGCCUACCCUGCCCACCAGGCUGGAUAGGUAACCUUACUACCUAUCCCACAGAGGGCAAGGCCAGGAGGUGCUCUGGCCACAGUUCCGGAGUCCAGAUCUUUAGCCACCGCUUCUGAAGCAGAGGCCCCCUCCCCUUAUUCUCCAUCUAAUUCCUUUGAUUAUGUACCUACCUUCACUUAAAAUCAUAACUUGUCAUUGUUUUGUUUACUGUCCUUGGGUCUUUUCGGUUUUCUCCUCUCAUUAGGACCCUCCUCCCUUUUGGUGGCCGCUCUACCCGCCAGGCACAUGGUAGGAGCCCCAUACGUCUUCGUGAAAUGACAAGAGAAACAGCUGUGGGGACCCUAGGCCUGAGAACGCAGCGAAGACUACCCGGGGCUGGGCUGAUCCCAAACUGCGGGCGGAGGCGGGACGUAGGGCGGACUCUGGGCGGGGCGCGGGGGGUCUAG